UACGGAGGGUGCGAACGUUAAUCGGAAUUACUGGGCGUAAAGCGCGCGUAGGCGGUUCGGCAAGUGGGAUGUGAAAGCCCCGGGCUUAACCUGGGAAUUGCGUUCCAAACUACCGGGCUAGAGUAUGGUAGAGGGAGGUAGAAUUUCCUGUGUAGCGGUGAAAUGCGUAGAUAUAGGAAGGAAUACCGGUGGCGAAGGCGGGCGCCUUGACCAAUACUGACUCCGAGGUGCGCAAGCGUGGGGAGCAAACAGG
rnacentral:rRNA from 1 species